rnacentral:sRNA from 1 species
AGUGAGUAAGAGAGAUGACAAAGAAGGGUCCUUUGAAUUUGAGACUUUUGCUCUUGCUUCUAGUGGUUCUUUUGCCCUCAUGCUCUAAUUGUGCUCUUACGUCUUCACAAGAAUUACGCCCAUCAUCAGAAUGGAGAAGAAAGAUGAUAACAGUAUGGUCGAAGAGCUCGUAUUAGGAGUGCUCCUCCAUUGCCGUCCUUUUACCCACCACCGUCAGCAGUUUACAUGAAACGACACAUAUAGAUACCAAAAAAGAAUGUCAAGAAUAUGCUUAAGUGUUACAGAUACUCGUUGUAAGAAGGAAAAAAGUGUUACAGAUAUUCUGAAGCAUUUAGGAGGUCUGAAAAAAAUGCAGCUGGCUUAACUUAGCGUACCAAGAACUCCGUUUGAUUCCAGUUAAGGUACAAGAUCCUCUAGGAAGCUAACAAGUAUCCCUCUCUCACUUGUUACAUGUGUACUGCCUCACGUGUGUGAUUGUUAGAGGAUAAGCCAUUUGUAGAUCCUUGAAAAGCUCCAUCGCUUCUCCUUUCAUUUGUACGUACGCAUCUUUUAAAUAAAAAGGAAAGUUUAGUUUAUUGAUUCAAGUUUCUCCUUUUUUCUCUUGGAAUAACUUAGUGUUGUACAGAUUCC